rnacentral:tRNA from 1 species
GAAAUAUAAUAUAAUUAAACUUCUAAUUUAAUUUUUAGUGAUUUAUUUCAUUAAUAUUUCU